ensembl:lncRNA ERVK13-1 endogenous retrovirus group K13 member 1
GCGGGCACAGCGUGAGGGCCGCCGUUGCUGGAGUUCAGCUUAGGGAAGGAGGACUCUGAGGAGGCCCCGAGCGGCGGAGCGCUUCGGGGGAGGCGCCCGCGCAGACGCGAGGCCCAUAGCCAGGACCACCACCUAGCUGAUUCUUGAUGACAUUGGUCGGGAAAACUCGCCUUUCACGGCCCGGCCAAGGGGCAUUUGGGUGCUUUUGCUGCCCGUGGCUGUGCUCAGCGUUGUGGGAAGCCCCUGGGAGGCCGAAUGUGCAGGAUCACCGAGGGGAAAGUGAGCUUGACAGUUCUACAGUCUGGGGACGACGGUUUAAAAAUUUAUGCCUUGCAUGCGAUGUGCAGUGGGUGAUGGAAGAACGUCUACAUGGCUUUAAAAUUGGAUUUAAAAGGCAAAUAUUUUAAAUGAAGGAAAACCCAAGAAGUUUACUUGAUUCCUUAUCUUCCAGGAUGCGACUUUUGUUUAUUUAUUUAUUUUAUUUUGAUGGAGUCUCGCUGCCGUCGCGCAGGCUGGAGUGCAGUGACGCGAUCUUGACCCGGGAACCUCCACCUCCCGGGUUCAAGCGAUUCUCCUUCCUCAACCACCCGAGUAGCUGGGAUUACAGGCGUGUGCCACCAUGCCCGGCUAAUUUUUGUGUUUUUAGUAGAGACCGGGGAAGGUAUGGGCCCUCUUUUGAGAAAAAUGCAGAGUGACACUGAAUUUUGUAACUACAUCAGGAGGCUCUUGAACCUUCUGCAGCUCACUCGUGGAGUUUGUAGAGAUGCGUAAUAAUCCGAAGUGUUAAGGAAGAAGGUUCUGUUGAGAAAAAGUUGGAGGGCUGAAAGGGAUGCCUUUCGCUAUUUCGACAUGUGUGGCUGUACCCCAGAGUGCCCUGGCUAACACGCAAAACCAUGAAUUAGGCGGCUUGGCGAGGCUCAGUGGAGGCUGGGGCCGAGAGUCAUGUCAAAGUUUGUGGGGUUAACCUGCACCCAGUGACAGUCAUGGCGAAGUUUGUGAGGUUAACUCGCACCCAGUAACGCUGUUCCAAUGCAAGGUGUGUAUUUGGUGUCAUCCACGGGAAGAGGAAACAGCAAAUUUUCUCAUGGCCUUGGCAGUUCCACAUGAUGGACAUUUCAUAUCUGCAGUUUUCUUCGCAUGAGAUGGCUUUUUUGCACAAAAACACUGGAAUCCAGUGAGCAAGAAUGAUAGAAUGCAAGAUGGAUUUCCACAUGAGGAAGUGUCACGAACAAGCGUUUUGCAUCUCUGUCAGCUGGAUUCCCCCAUGUGUACGUAUGUGAGAACAUGCCGUGUUUCCUGUCUGUAAUGGUAGAGGCAGCCCUGAUACUGGAUUUUCACCUGAGGAUGGAUAGAUCUUCAGGGUUCAAGUGGGUUUGCAUCUGGACUUUAGGGUGGCCCUGUAGGCCCUGUGUGAGAAGCCCCCUUCCCAGUGAACUUUCCCUUGUGUGCCCGCGUGGACAGCCAACAGGGGGAGCAGUGCGAGCGUGAAGGCAGACAGUGGCCUGGCCCAGUCUGAUGGUAAGUGGGCCAGAGGCAGUGAGUACCAUUUCUUGAUCUGACUACUCAAGACAGGCGCUUCCCUAGGUACUUUCACACCUCAUUGCGAGGUACGUGUUGUUCCCAUUUUACAGGUGCAGAAGCUGAGCUGCAGAGGCGUUAGGUACCUGCCUCAUAAGUGGUAGAGACUCCAGUGUCACCCUGCCCCUCACGUUCGGAGCCCCCGAGGGAGGGUCUGCCGGGCAGCUCAGCCCAGCACUCUGUAAGGAAAUCUUCAGUGCCACUGCCCAGGAUGUCUUCCCGGGGAUUGGGCCUGAAUGUCUUGACCAUGCCGUGCUGGAGGUAGGAGGGGUGUCUUCAUAUGGAAGAACUGUACAUAUUUCUUUGGCAGAUGGCUGAACUCUGUGACCCCGGGGCCUGUUUCAGCCUCCUGCUGUCAGAAAGCAGCUGUUUGGGAAGAGGCUGUGAUUCGGCCUUGUUUGAGGGCCGAUACUCUGAAUGGGUGAGGCUUGGAAUCCUCCCUUUGGAACAAAGAAACAUAAUGAUUUUGCUGAAGGUAGAAUUGGGGGACUAGGCAGAGUGGCCUCCUGCCCUCCCUGGGGUGGUUCUGUCUUUUGCAAAGGUGGCUGCAUCCUUAGGGGAAGGUGAGGGGAGAAGCAGGGAGCAUGGAGAGAAGUGGCUUUCGAUUUUCUCUCUCCUUUUGGGGAGUUCCUCCUUAUGUGGCUGGUCUGGUGCAUAGUGUGAUGUAUUCCUGUACGCAACGUUGCCCUGACAGCCAGUCCAAGCUGAGUCUAGAGCUGGCAAGGUGAGCUCCCAGUAGUAAGAGGGUGUGGGCGGCAAGCCACCCAGGCACCGAGGCAAGAGACAGAGGACACGAGCUGUUCCAGUAUAAUAAAAUAUAAAACAAGAAUAGUUAUACCAGAUAUAGAUCUUAGAUAUGAUUAUAUAUGAAUAUCAUUAAUCAUGAGUUUGCAGCAAUUACUUUUUAUUCCAAUAUUAUGAUAAUCCUCGCUCUAUAAUCAUAGCCUAGGAAAAACCAGGCCAUACAGAGGAGCUGAGGGGACAUAGUGAGGUGUGACCAGAAGACAAGAGUGCGAGGCUUCUGUUAUGCCCGGACAGGGCCACAAGAGGGCUCCUUGGUCUAGCGGUGACGCCAGCGUCUGGGAAGACGCCCGUUACCCGGCGGAUCGUGGCCCAGUGGUAGCAAAAGGUGUCAAGGAACAACACUCACUACUUAGCAGACCGGGAAAGGGGCGGGGGGGGGGUCUCCCUUUCCCCGGGGGAGUUUAGAAAAGACUCUGCUCCUCCACCUCUUGUGGAGGGCCUGACAUCAGUCAGGCUUGCCCGUAGUUAUCCGGAGGCCUAACUGUCUCCCUGUGAUGCUGUGCUUCAGUGGUCACACUCCUUGUCUGCCUUCAUGUUCCAUCCUGUACACCUGGCUCUGCCUUCUAGAUAGCAGUAGUAAAUUAGUGAAAAUACUAAUAGUCCCUGAUAUGCAGAAAUAAUGGUAUAAGCUGUCUUUCUCUCUGUCUCCUCUCCCUCUCUGCCUCGGCUGCCAGGCAGGGAAGGGCCCCCUGUCCAGUGGACACGUGACCCACGUGACCUUACCUAUCAUUGGAGGUGACUCACAUUCUUUACCCUGCCCCUUCUGUCUUGUAUCCGAUAAAUAACAGCGCAGUCAGACAUUCGGGGCCACUACCGGUCUCCGCGCAUUGGUGGUAGUGGUCCCCCGGGCCCAGCUGCCUUUUCUCUUAUCUCUCUGUCUUGUGUCUUUAUUUCUACACUCUCUCAUCGCCACACACAGGGAGAGACCCACCGACCCUGUGGGGCUGGUCCCUACAUCUGGCGCUCUGACGUGGGGCUCUCCCUCGCUGUGUGAAGUUGCACCCUGAGUGCGGGAUCAGCGGAGGAGUUCAACGAGAGAUUCCUGAGGAUUGCAGUCUAUAAACUUGGUGGUAAGCUUGAGCACUCAGUUUUCUGGGGACACCAUGGGACAGGCCAGUACAAAGUAUUUGGCUUAUUUAAAUUUUAUAAAAACUCUUCUUAAAGAAGGAGGUGUUAAAGUUUCUACUGAAAAGUUAAUUGAACUAUUUGAGGUUGUAGAUCUUCUUUGCCCUUGGUUUCCGACUGAGGGAACUCUAGAACUUAAAGAUUGGGUUGAGAUUGGCAAACAAUUCAAAAUUGCUCAUAAAGGGGGACAUUUUAUCCCACCCACCAUUUGGUCAAUCUGGGCUUCGGUUCACUCUGUCUUAGACUCCUUACAGACUCAGGAGGACAAUAUGGAGACUGAUCCCUCUUUCCUCUCCUCUGAGGGAGGUCGAGGAAGCGCUCAGCUCUCUUUCCCCUGAGGAUACUACACAAAUUGAGAACGUAAUUUCAAAGGAGGACUUCCACUCUGACAUGCCUGCACCACUUCCACCUACACCAGAGGCUACUGCACCCCCAUUGCCGCUUUAUGAUGAUCUUUUAACUGACCUAAAUAUACUAAUCUCCCCCAAUCAGCAAAACUCAGCUGAAACAUAUCAACAGCCAUUGCAGCCAGACCCUCCUGUCUCUCCUCACUGUUUCAACGCUGCCGCUGUGCAAAUAGCAGAUGAGACCAGGCAGCCUGUAAACGAGUCUAUAAAUUAUGUUUCUAUGCAGCCCGGUACAGAGGCUCCGCUAUAUGAACAGCUCAGAAAAGAGGCUUCCAAUUCUCGGCCCGGUAAUGAGGCCCUCAAUCCUAUUUCUCCUAAUCGGACUCAGUUAGAGUCACAGACUCCCUUGAAGCCCUUUCCUAUAAAUCAGACUCGAGUAGAGUCACAGUCUCCCUUGAAGCCUGGUUCCUUUCCUGCAAAUCGGACUCAGAGUCACAGGCUCCCUUGAAGCCUGGUCCCUUUCCUAUAAAUCAGACUUGGGUAGAGUCACAGGCUCCCUUGAAGCCUGGUUCCUUUCCUGCAAAUCGGACUCAGAGUCACAGACUCCCUUGAAGCCUGGUUCACACUUGCCGUGGCAGCCUGGUUUUCAGGCCCAUGAAAGACCUGCUCAGCAGGUAAUCUGCUGUCACCCUGGCUUUCAGUUUUUUGACUCUCCUUCUAUUCAAAAUUCUACCUCUUUUUCUGCUCCUGGUCCGGUCGCAACUGCUGUUGCCAAUACUACCAUUGCCGCUCAUAAGCAACAAAUUACAUACAUCCCUGAAGAUGACACUCCGCUUAUGAGGGCUAUAGUUCAAGCAAGGGAAUAUGGGGAUCCUGAAACUUGGCAAUUUCCUGUAAUUUUACAACCUCCAGUACCUGCCACCCCAGCAGUACAAAACCACCCACAGCCUGUUGUUGAUCCUGCCCAGCAGGCGGCUGACCCCGCAGCUCAACAAGAUCAAGAGGCUGAUAAUCAAGCCCCUCAGCCCGAAACUCAGGCUGCUCAGGUAAAUAAUCAGCCUCCGCAGUUGCCUGCUCCUGGGGCACAGCCAAUACCUGGCAUUCCCGCUGUUCAGGUGGUAAUUCAGCCUGACCCCAUCCAUCCAGGCCAGGUUCAGCUACGCCCUGCUACAUGGGAAAGUUUUUCUUUUAAAUUCCUCAAAGAUUUUAAAGAAUCAGUGAAACAAUAUGGCACCAACUCUCCUUUUGUCCGUUCCACAUUAAAAGCCUUAGGAGAAGAUAAACGUUUGGUACCCUAUGAUUGGGAAAUUUUGGCAAAAUCAAGUCUUAUCUAAAUCCCAAUAUUUACAGUUCAGGACUUGGUGGGUUGAUGCUGUCCAGGAACGCAUUUGUCUUAGGGCACUAAUCCUCCUGUUAACGUUAUGGCUGACCAGUUACUGGGAAUGGGUCAAUGGGCCGCAAUCCGACACCAAACUAUACUAAAUGAUGAGGUUAUUGAACAACUGCGAAAAUUGUUGCUUAGAUGCUUGGGACAAAAUUCAAGAUGAUGGUAAAGUAUGCCCAUCUUUCACAGCCGUCAGACAGGGACAACAUGAGCCCUACCCAGACUUUAUUACUCGUCUUCAAGACGCAGCAGAAAAGGCUAUUCCUGAUAGCCACGGCCAAAGACUUGUUGUAGAACUUAUGGCUUAUGAACAAGCAAAUCCAGAUGGUCAGGCGGCUGUUUGCCCCGCCAAAGGUAAAAUUCCACCGGGUGGUGAUAUACUCACCUCCUACAUUAAAGCCUGUGAAGGGGUGGGAGGAACUCUCCAUACAGCAACGAUUAUGGCACAAGCUAUGGCCUCUAUUCGAAUGCCUGGACAAUUCUCUGGCCAAUGCUUCAUAUGCGGCCAGAAGGGACAUGCAGAAAGAAAUUGCCCUC